GCGCCCUUAGCUCAAUUGGAUAGAGCAUUUGACUACGGAUCAGAAGGUUGUAGGUUCGACUCCUACAGGGCGCG
rnacentral:tRNA from 1 species